rnacentral:rRNA from 1 species
UACGUAGGGUGCAAGCGUUUGUCCGGAAUUAUUGGGCGUAAAGAGCUCGUAGGCGGUCUGUCGCGUCUGCUGUGAAAACUCGGGCUUAACCCCGGGCCUGCAGUGGGUACGGGCAGACUAGAGUGCGGUAGGGGAGACUGGAAUUCCUGGUGUAGCGGUGAAAUGCGCAGAUAUCAGGAGGAACACCGGUGGCGAAGGCGGGUCUCGUGGGCCGUAACUGACGCUGAGGAGCGAAAGCAUGGGGAGCGAACAGG